rnacentral:rRNA from 1 species
GAUGAACGCUGGCGGCGUGCCUAAUACAUGCAAGUCGAGCGAACAGACGAGGAGCUUGCUCCUCUGACGUUAGCGGCGGACGGGUGAGUAACACGUGGAUAACCUACCUAUAAGACUGGGAUAACUUCGGGAAACCGGAGCUAAUACCGGAUAAUAUAUUGAACCGCAUGGUUCAAUAGUGAAAGACGGUUUUGCUGUCACUUAUAGAUGGAUCCGCGCCGCAUUAGCUAGUUGGUAAGGUAACGGCUUACCAAGGCAACGAUGCGUAGCCGACCUGAGAGGGUGAUCGGCCACCCUGGAACUGAGACACGGUCCAGACUCCUACGGGAGGCAGCAGUAGGGAAUCUUCCGCAAUGGGCGAAAGCCUGACGGAGCAACGCCGCGUGAGUGAUGAAGGUCUUCGGAUCGUAAAACUCUGUUAUUAGGGAAGAACAAAUGUGUAAGUAACUAUGCACGUCUUGACGGUACCUAAGCAGAAAGCCACGGCUAACUACGUG